GACAGAGUAUUUAGUUCAGCCUUAAAUAAAAUUCUAUGCAUGCAGAAAGCUUUAUUUAUUCACUGGAAUCUGGUUGUACAUGUCAAACUAGAUCAACUAGUUUGUCUCACAAAGCCCUGCCUUGGAAUCUCGUCAUCUGAGAUUCACUGGGUUAACAGGUGUUAGAAACUGGAGGUUCAUAUCCCCUCCUUUCCACAAGGAGGCACCAACUGAUGGUUGAGUGUACUUGUGGAAGUACCUCCUCCUACUCUAUAAAUAGAGGCCAGGAUGAGGACUUCCUCCUCUUUGUCUCCAAACCCUUCACCUGGACUGAGUUCUUGGAGCUGCCUGCCAGGUGUCUUUUGAAUGACCUCCAAUUUCAUGACAAAUGGUCCCACAAGCCAAACACCGAGCCACACUCCACACAGUGACCUAAAAUGGCUGCUUUAGAGACUGAUGGCAUCAGACUCUCUUUACUGAGUAUGCAGAUGGAUUCCAAGGUGGAACAGACUCAACCCAGCAAACACAGGAUGCGGCCCAUCCUGUCGAAGAGGACCUUGAGGAAGUGGCCUUCAAAGAACGGGAUGUCCAAGUUACACUUCUCAAAAGGCUUUGGAUUUCCCCUCCAGUCCCACCGCUGACAGACCCCACAAUAAUCCCUGAACUGAGAGGAAGAGUCAGGAAAAAUAAUGAUUUUCCACAAGGUGCAUGCAAAGCAGGCAGCUCAGCAAGGUCAGAGGUCAGAGGCAGGUCCUUACACGGCAUCAUGGGGCUGGCCAUUCUCCA